rnacentral:rRNA from 1 species
CUGGCGGCGUGCCUAGACAUGCAAGUCGUGCGACGAAACCGUUUCUUUCUCCGCAAGGGAAAAGAGAUGGCGGAAAGCGGCGAACGGGUGAGUAAUACCUGGACAAUCUACCUUUACACGGGGGAUAACUACGCGAAAGCGUGGCUAAUACCGCAUGAUAUCCUUGACCGCAAGGUUAAGGAUUAAAGGGGUUGCAAGCAAUUGCAAUCUUGCGUAAAGAUGAGUCCAGGUCCUAUCAGCUUGUUGGCGGGGUAACGGCCCACCAAGGCUAUGACGGGUAGCUGGUUUGAGAGGAUGGUCAGCCACACUGGGAUUGAGAUACGGCCCAGACUCCUACGGGAGGCAGCAGUCGGGAAUUUUGGACAAUGCCCGCAAGGGUGAUCCAGCGACGCCGCGUGGAGGAUGAAGGCUUUCGGGUCGUAAACUCCUGUCGAGUGGGACGAAGUUCCGGUAGUAAUACCGGGAUUGACGGUACCACCAAAGGAAGUCCCGGCUAACUCCGUGCCAGCAGCCGCGGUAAGACGGAGGGGGCAAGCCUUGUCCGGAUUGACUGGGUGUAAAGGGCGUGUAGGUGGCCCGGCGGGUCUGACAUUAAAGCCCACGGCCUAACCGUGGAAAAGUGCCAGAAACUACCGGGCUUUGAGUCUGAAAGAGGGGAGCGGAACUCCUGGUGUAACGGUGAAAUGUACGGAUAUCAGGAGGAACACCAGUGGCGAAGGCGGCUCCCUGGUUCAUGACUGACACUGAGGCGCGAAAGCAAGGGUAGCAAACAGGAUUAGA